rnacentral:lncRNA from 1 species
AGAGCCUGAAAGAGACGGGGAGCGUCCAGCCGCCAUCUUGGGCUCUGUCUUGUUAUCCCUUGAACAAGUCUGUCUUCUCUCUUUUUUUUUUUGAGACAGAGUCUCGCUCUUUCGCCCAGGCCUGACUGCAGUGGCACUAUCUCGGCUCACUGCAAGCUCUGCCUCCCAGGUUCACGCCACUCUCCUGCCUCAGCCUCCGGAGUAGCUGGGACUACACACGCCCGCCACCGCGCCCGGCUAAUUUUUUGUAUUUUUAGUAGAGACAGGGUUUCACCGUGUUAACCAGAGAGAAUGGGCAAGAGGUCAUCGAUGGACCGGAGAUGGGAUGGUAGGGACAGAAACUGCAGGGUCCGCAGAAGGAACUGCUCACCGGAAGCCAACAAGCUUGCCCUGUGGAAUCCCAGAAAGGCCCAGGAACUUCGGGACAUCACUGAAGGCAGAGUGAGGAGAGGAAGAGAGGACAGAGAAAUGGAGGGGAGAAAACUAUUAAAAUAAGUAAUAAGAAAACUUUCCCCAGAAGUGCAGAAUCUGAAUUUCCAGUAUAAAAGGGUCCAUUGAGCGCCAAGAACAAUGAGGGAAAAAAGGUCCCACUCAGGCCUACAUAUCAUUGUGAAAUUUCAGAACUCCAGGGAUAAAGAAAAGAUCCUAAAAGCUUCCCGAGAGAUAAAAAAGAAGAUUUUUACAAAGGAUCAGCAAUCAGAAUUGCCUCAGACUGCUCAAUAAAAACAUCAGAAGCUAGAAGAAAAUAGAGUGAGGCAUCAAAAUCCUGAGGGAAAUGAUUCCCACCUAAAAUUUAAUAUUCUGCUCAAUUAUCAAUUAAGUAUUGAAGGGAAAUAAAGACAUUUUUAGACA